UCCCUGGCAGUUCAGUGGUUAGGACUCUGUGCUUUCAAUGUCAAGGGUCUGGGUUCAAUCCCCAGUUGGGGAA
rnacentral:tRNA from 1 species